rnacentral:rRNA from 1 species
CUGCGUGGUGGUGGGGGAUAACGUGCGGAAACGGACGCUAAUACCGCAUACGUCCUACGGGAGAAAGCAGGGGACCUUCGGGCCUUGCGCUAUCAGAUGAGCCUAGGUCGGAUUAGCUGGUUGGUGAGGGUAAUGGCUCACCAAGGCUAGGAUCCGUAACUGGUCUGAGAGGGUGAUCAGCCACACUGGGAGUGAGACACGGUCCAGCCUCCUACGGGAGGCAGCAGUGGGGAAUAUUGGACAAUGGGCGAAAGC